rnacentral:rRNA from 1 species
UACGUAGGGUGCAAGCGUUGUCCGGAAUUAUUGGGCGUAAAGAGCUCGUAGGCGGUUUUGUCGCGUCUGCUGUGAAAACGCGAGGCUCAACCUCGCGCCUGCAGUGGGUACGGGCAGACUGGAGUGCGGUAGGGGGAGAUUGGAAUUCCUGGUGUAGCGGUGGAAUGCGCAGAUAUCAGGAGGAACACCGGUGGCGAAGGCGGUUCUCUGGGGCAUUACCUGACGCUGAGGAGCGAAAAGUGUGGGGGAGCGAACAGG